rnacentral:rRNA from 1 species
UACAGAGGGGGCAAGCGUUGCUCGGAAUCACUGGGCGUAAAGGGCGCGUAGGCGGGCUGGCAAGUCAGUCGUGAAAUCUCUCGGCUCAACCGAGAAACGUCGGCUGAUACUGCCGUUCUUGAGGGAUGCAGAGGAGACUGGAAUUCCCGGUGUAGCGGUGAAAUGUGUAGAGAUCGGGAGGAACACCGGUGGCGAAGGCGGGUCUCUGGGCAUUUCCUGACGCUGAGGCGCGAAAGCGUGGGGAGCAAACGGG